rnacentral:lncRNA from 1 species
CCCAGCAGGGCCACACGGGGUGAGGGACAGAGACCCUGACUGGUGACACAGCUGAGGGACCCAGGAGCCCCCGAGUCCCCCCCACCUCGUGUGUGACGAGACCGUGUGGGGAAAUCAGUGUUUAUUGAGAGGCAGUGAUGUCAGGGCCUGGAGUGUCCCCACGUCCCUCCGUGCCACCGUUGCACAACCCCAGCCCCCACAGCCACCGCAGGACGUGACGCCGUUUCCGCUCCUGCCACGAGCGGCAUGCAGCUCCUGCCUCUGGGCUGCUCUGCUGAGGGACACCAUGGGGUGACCUUCAUGGGACACCCACCAUGGCCUGGGCCAGGCUGCAGCUCAGCUCGGCUCACAAGUGAUUUCUUUGCUAAAAGACACCAUUUCUGUAUUUGGCAGGAGAGAACCUGCAGGCCGGCCCGACGACACGUGGAGCAAUGCACAGCCCCAAGCCACCCCUAAAUCCCAGUUCUGAGGUUCCCUGAUGAGGAGGAUGGGGACGUGGGGUGCAUGCCGUGCUGGAACAACCACAUCCUUGGAGGGAGGCAUCUCCCAGGGCUUUGGUUGCCCACAGAAGAGCAGGUCCAAGGGGAGAGAUGCCACUGUGGAUUUCCCACGUGCUGGAGCCCGCCCGGCUGAAAGUGCUCCUUCCUUGGGCCUUGCAGCGGAAACACCCAGAGGUCUCUUCCUGCCACCGCUGCUGUGACAGCCGGAGCCAUCCCAGGCACCAACACCCCACGGAGCCACCUGCGAGCACGGGAGUCCCACGGCAGAGCCCCGAUCCCCUCCCCGGGGCGCCACGGGGGUCCCGCCGAGCACAGCCCCUCGCUAUCCUCCCCCUGCGGCUGCCCUGGGAUGCUCAUCCCCAAAUAAUCCCAUCAGCUCCACCAGAUAAAAAAACUCCCAAGUCAUUUGUGCUCGGGGCUGGGAUGGAGCAGAUCCCGGCAGAUCCCGGUGUGCCGGCAUCGUGGAAGCUGCACGGGAUCGGCGGAACGGCUCCAUCUCCCGCCGGGGGCUCGGGGGAUUAAAGC